GACGAACGCUGGCGGCGUGCUUAACACAUGCAAGUCGAACGGAAAGGCCCUGCUUGCCGGGUACUCGAGUGGCGAACGGGUGAGUAACACGUGGGUGAUCUGCCCUGCACUUCGGGAUAAGCCUGGGAAACUGGGUCUAAUACCGGAUAGGAGCCAUUUUUAGUGUGAUGGUUGGAAAGUUUUUUCGGUGUAGGAUGAGCUCGCGGCCUAUCAGCUUGUUGGUGGGGUAAUGGCCUACCAAGGCGGCGACGGGUAGCCGGCCUGAGAGGGUGGACGGCCACAUUGGGACUGAGAUACGGCCCAGACUCCUACGGGAGGCAGCAGUGGGGAAUAUUGCACAAUGGGCGCAAGCCUGAUGCAGCGACGCCGCGUGGGGGAUGACGGCCUUCGGGUUGUAAACUCCUUUCGCUAGGGACGAAGCUUUUUGUGGCGGUACCUAGAUAAGAAGCACCGGCUAACUACGU
rnacentral:rRNA from 1 species